CACUAGGGGGAUACUCAUGAAAUGAUCGUAGUGCCAUCUUUCAUUCAUGUCAUUCUAAAGUGCCACCUAUCUACUUUCCCUAAUACAAUCCUUUUGUAUGUAUGCGUGCGCUAAGUAGGGAAGUUCCGAUGGUUGUUAGUGAAACAAAGAGUAUUUUUCUAUUAGCGAUGAAAUGCACAACACUCUACAUGAACAUCACCACAAGUCGAAAUAUUUGUUGAUUGGCUUUCCAUAAUCAGAAGAAAAAAUUCUAACAGACACAUUCAUGAUAAAGUGAGGUUGCGAUUUGUCAGAGCUCUUUAAUAUUUUGAACAAAACAUUGCAACUGACAUUUUUUUAGUAACCGAAAUACUACAAAUUAAAGUACUUAGCUUUGUUUUACUGUGAAGCUUAGAAAACUGAAAUCAAAAUUCUAAAGUUGAUCCGAGAAUGAAAAAUCUACCAGUAGAGGGGCCUGUGAACUGGAGUGUUAUUGUUAUGGAGAAAUCAUGACCUUUUUGCUUCUGCUACAGGAAUUGUAAGAUUGUUCUUUUGGAUGUGACUUGAGAAAUUUUUAAUGUAUUUUUAAUAUUGGAACAGAGACACUCGAAUUUGGUGGACUAAACAUGUAAUGUUUGAUUGCAAGUUUGUAUGAAGAAUUGUUUACAUAGUUCCAUUUUUUCCUUUCUCAAAAUAUGAAAUUUUGUAGUCAUGCCUUUGAUUAUUAAUUUGUGAUUAUUUUGAUGAAUUAUAAAUCAGAUAGAAUAAAAUAAAAAAAACUGUAAAUGUAUUUUUUAAAUUUCAACAUGUUUAUGCAUAUCAAGACAUUAUUACAAGAAUAAUUAUUCAUUUAGAAAUGAAGAUACUUUACAAAAUUGUUCAUCGUCCAUUGCUUAUCCAAGAUGAAACAAAAAUAUGAAAUAAUAUUAACUGUUGAGUAGCUUUAUAUUUUUGAUCUAAUGGCAUUGUGGAGAAAUGAUUAAAAAUUAAAUUAUUGUUAGAAGGUGCCUGUAUAAAUUGAA